rnacentral:rRNA from 1 species
UGGGGAAUAUUGCGCAAUGGGCGAAAGCCUGACGCAGCAACGCCGCGUGAGUGAUGAAGGUCUUCGGAUCGUAAAGCUCUGUCGGCAGGAACGAUGGGUCUGUUGGCUAACAUCCAACGGAUUUGACGGUACCUGCAAAGGAAGCACCGGCUAACUCUGUGCCAGCAGCCGCGGUAAGACAGAGGGUGCAAGCGUUGUUCGGAAUCAUUGGGCGUAAAGGGCGCGUAGGCGGUUCUAUAAGUCGGAUGUGAAAUCCCAGGGCUCAACCGUGGAAGUGCAUCCGAAACUGCAGAACUAGAGUCCCGGAGAGGGUGGUGGAAUUCCCAGUGUAGAGGUGAAAUUCGUAGAUAUUGGGAGGAACACCGGUGGCGAAGGCGACCGCCUGGACGGAGACUGACGCUGAGGCGCGAGAGCGUGGGGAGCAAACAG